GACGUAGGGGGCCAGCGUUGUUCGGAAUUACUGGGCGUAAAGGGUUCGUAGGCGGUGCGGCAAGUUGGGUGUGAAAUCUCUGGGCUUAACCCAGAGGCUGCUUCCAAAACUGCUGUGCUUGAGUGUGGGAGAGGCGCGUGGAAUUGCAGGUGUAGCGGUGAAAUGCGUAGAUAUCUGCAGGAACACCCGUGGCGAAAGCGGCGCGCUGGACCACUACUGACGCUGAGGAACGAAAGCGAGGGGAGCAAACAGG
rnacentral:rRNA from 1 species